rnacentral:tRNA from 4 species
GGGGCGGUAGUUCAGUUGGUUAGAAUGCCUGCCUGUCACGCAGGAGGUCGCGAGUUCAAGUCUCGUCCGUCCCG